rnacentral:rRNA from 1 species
UACGUAGGGGGCAAGCGUUGUCCGGAUUUAUUGGGCGUAAAGAGCGUGUAGGCGGCCAGGUAGGUCUGCUGUGAAAACUCGAGGCUUAACCUCGAGCUGUCGGCGGAAACCAUCUGGCUAGAGUCCGGAAGAGGAGAAUGGAAUUCCCGGUGUAGCGGUGAAAUGCGCAGAUAUCGGGAAGAACACCCGUGGCGAAGGCGGUUCUCUGGGACGGUACUGACGCUGAUGCGCGAAAGCGUGGGUAGCAAACAGG